UUGAGCUGGAUGCUCGGCAACGGGCACGUCCGGUUCUGAGGGGGCCGGGGUGUAGCAAUGCGCUCCGAACUAUCCGAC
rnacentral:ncRNA from 1 species